rnacentral:lncRNA from 1 species
GUUCGUUGUGGAUGUGUUUCAACGGGUGCAAAACACGAUGGGCUUUUAGGCUGAAAUUGUACAAGAACAAAGAUGGUUAUUAGCUCGUGCUUGACCUAACAGAGAGAGAAGCACACGAGAACUAUGAAAGCUAUAGAAAUACUGAUUACACGAAAAAUACUCCAUAAAACUUUCCAGUGAGCUUGAACAAGAUGGCGGCUGUUCAUACCUGACAUCUGAGGCUGAUAGCCAAUAUAUAUACACACCAACCAGCAAGCUUAUCAUGGAAUAGUCCANUAUCUAUCUUGUAAUAAUGGAUUAACUGCAUUAAAACAAAAGAAAAAGACUUUGAUAGCAAUAUGGACUCACCUUGUUAAUUUAUGAGUAUUGACCUAAUUAAUGAUGUGGUAACCUGGUGAUGACCCUGUGACCUUCAUAAGAAUGUGGACUCACCUUGUUGCUAUAUGGAUAUUGAAGUAAAUAGCUCAGUCAUACCUCAUUCUGGCAAACCUUACUGGUCAAAACGACUUGUGAGGCAAUUAUAUUUGACUGGACAAGUCCCGUUCUGGCCGGACAUUGUCUGACGUCUGGCCGUUAUUUUCAAGCCCUGCAGCAUAAUAUAGCAUUCUUGUCAGCCAUUACAGAUAAGUCCAAGUGUUAUGAUGCUGUCAACUUCUUGCAGGCCAUUCUAGUGCAACAAACAACUUACCAGCCAUUACAGUCAAGUAUCUUGUGAUGCUGUGUAGCUUUGGCCAGUAUACAUGACAGACAAGUA